CUGCCUUCUCGGCCUUUUGGCUAAGAUCAAGAACCUCUAAACCACAAUAAACGCUAUCAAGUGCAGUAUCAGCUCUUUGUUGCCUUAGUGGGGAGAUUUGCAUGCGCAUGAGAGCCACACUAUGCCCUUUCGCUAGUGGCUCUGGAAGGAUCAUUG